rnacentral:rRNA from 1 species
GUCUCUGCGCGGAAAAUUUAACGGGGCUAAGAUACAAACCGAAGCUUAGGCUGCAUCGUAAGAUGCGGGGUAGGGGAGCGUUGUGUAAGCGGAGAAACAGUAGCGUAAGCGGCUGUGGAGUUUACAGAAGUGAGAAUGCCGGAAUGAGUAGCGCGAAUGUGGUGAGAAUCCACAUGGCCGGAAACCUCAGGUUUUUGGAGGAAGGUUCGUCCGCUCCAAGUUAGGCGGGAGCUAAGGUCAGGCCGAAAGGCGUAGCCGAUGCACAGACGGUAGAGAUUCCGUCCCCACCGAAAGAUUUAAGCACAGGGACACUUUUUGAAGGUCGGAGCCAGGUGUUGGUUCUGGUAGUGAUCGAGGGAAAUAUAGUACCGAAGUCCGGCUGGAAGAGAGGCGAGAAAAGCUGUGUGUAUAUCUAAGGUGCCCGUACCGCAAACCGACACAGGUAGGUAGGAAGAAGAUUCUAAGGCCAACGGGAGAAGGGUUGUUAAGGAACUCGGCAAGUUGACCCCGUAACUUCGGAAUAAGGGGUGCUCACGAGAGUGAGCCGCAGAGAAUAGGCCCAGGCAACUGUUUACCAAAAACACAGGUUUGUGCUAAAUCGAAAGAUGACGUAUACGAGCUGACGCCUGCCCGGUGCUGGAAGGUUAAAAGGAGAUGUGCAAGCAUUGAAUUGAAGCCCCAGUGAACGGCGGCCGUAACUAUAACGGUCCUAAGGUAGCGAAAUUCCUUGUCAGGUAAGUUCUGACCCGCAUGAAAGGCGUAAUGAUCUGGGCACUGUCUCAACAGCCCGCCCGGCGAAAUUGUAGUACCGGUGAAGAUGCCGGUUACCCGCGACAAGACGGAAAGACCCCAUGGAGCUUUACUGUAGCCUGAUAUUGGGUUUCGGUGUUGCAUGCACAGGAUAGAUGGGACACUGGGAAGGCAGUGCUUUGGCAUUGCUGGAGUGGACGUUGGGAUACCAUCCUUGCGACAUUGGAAUUCUAACCUGCGCCUCUGAAUCGAGGCGGGGGACAUUGUCAGGUGGGCAGUUUGACUGGGGCGGUCGCCUCCUAAAAAGUAGCGGAGGCGUUCAAAGGUUCGUUCGAUCUGGACGGAAACCAGAUGAUUGAGUGCAAACGCAUAAACGAGCCUGACUGCGAGACUGACGGGUCGAGCAGAGACGAAAGUCGGAGUUAGUGAUCCGGUGGUAUGUGAGUGGAAAUGCCAUCGCUCAACGGAUAAAA